GGUGGUAAAACAUUGUCUGCCAUGAACUUCAUGAUGCAAAACAAAAAAAAAGAAGAAAAAGCUGUGGUUUGGAAGCUGCUGGAUAGCAAACUGCAGGCUGGGAAUGUGGCUGCUGAAACCACUGCAAGGAUAACAGGGCAUACACAGGUUGAAGAGAAGAAGGGAAUCUUCCAGGUGGCUGUGUCUUGAAAACCAGGUGCUGCUGUGGUUGCUUCCUGCCCGACCGUGCUGCACUGCUCCAAGGGACUGGCCAGGACUAAACUCCAGUUUUCCUGGUCCAUUUUGCAGCAGUCUUUUGUGUACAAGAACUACAACUCUGGAACAAACAAACAAACAAAAAAUAAAAUAAAAAAAGCAGCCUGAUCUAACCCAGAACAGUGAAUGGACAUUGAAACCAAGCUGAGGAUGCCUCAACCUUGUAAAACCUUUUUCUCUCAUCUUCUGAAGAAGAAAUUCCUCUGGAGUCUUCCUCAGUUAGUCUGAAAUACACUUCUGCUGGUCAGGAGUGAAAUAUUCUUAUGAGCCUUUUUUUUUUUCUGCUGGGCAUCAGAUAAGACAGUCUUUGUCCCAGCUUCUACUGGAGCUCCCAGUGUCUCUUUUGGAAAUGAUUCUGUGUGUUCAGGCAGUGGCUGGUGACCACAAUAAAACCUGUAUGACUCUGA